rnacentral:lncRNA from 1 species
AGAAUUUUACGGUAAACCAUACAAUACCAAAUUUGGAGAUAACAGCUUCUGAUGCUGAUGAAAAUCCCACUCUAAGAUAUUCUUUGAUACCUGCUGGCCAGAAUUCAAAAGGAAUUGAAGACUACAUGAAAAUUAAAGAUGAAUAUAAAGGUAUCAUCACAGUAGUAAAAGCACUGGAC